UCGUCUCGGCGUUUACGCGUGUAGACCGGCUUCGCUUAUUAAAAGUCAUCUGUCGGUUGAUAUUUGAUGCAAAAACUUAAGUGACGUCUUAUCAAUAACGGAAGGCAAAGUGCAGUGAACGUAAAAAACCUUGACAGUACAAACAAGUGCUCGGCGUGGAAGGGAGUCGUGUUGCAUCGCCCACUUUUUAUGUGGCUAACAGGAGCGAGCUUAUGUUGUGUGUAAAUGCAAGAAGCACGGAAAGGAGCUGCGUCUACGCCGCAAUCUCUGAUUUCGGUAUCCUUGCAAAACGUACAUGACUGUGUAAAGUAACGUUAAAAAACACUAAAAGCUUCGUCAGGAUUGGAAAAAGACCUUACCGAUUUGUUCGAUACCAAACGAGCUUUCAAACAAGCGCAGAAACACUUAUACCAACAGGUGCAACUUUGGGCUGAGUAGAUAAAUAAAAAGUAUUGUCCUCUGUCGCCAAACUCUAUAGUGCGGAGACAUGGACGAUGACAUCAGAGGAAGAGGAAGACCUUCACUCCGUUGGAAAGAUAUGGUAGAAAAAGAUUGAAGAUACGAAGUACAGCCAGGUCUUCGUAUCUCCAACUGGCGCCAAACAGCAAACAGAAGA